CAGGGGGUGCAAACGUUGCUCGGAAUUAUUGGGCGUAAAGCGCGCGUAGGCGGCCACUUAAGUCGGAUGUGAAAGCCCCUGGCUCAACUGGGGAAGUGCACCCGAAACUGAGCGGCUUGAAUGCAAAAGAGGUCGCGGAAUUCCCGGUGUAGAGGUGAAAUUCGUAGAUAUCGGGAGGAACACCGGUGGCGAAGGCGGCGACCUGGGUUGACAUUGACGCUGAGGCGCGAAAGCGUGGGGAGCAAACAGGAUUAGAUACCCUGGUAGUCCACGCCGUAAACGAUGGGUGCUAGAUGUUUCUGGUAUUGACCCCGGAGGCGUCGUAGCUAACGCGUUAAGCACCCCGCCUGGGAAGUACGGCCGCAAGGCUA
rnacentral:rRNA from 1 species